UAGCUUGUGGCACAUUUCAUGAACUGAAUAGUCAUGAGUGAAGUAAAAAUAUUUUUCAAAUUUCUACUCUUGUCUAUAGCCUUUCAUCUCAACAUAUUUCUAAAGCUCUUACUGAACUCUUGAGAUAUACCUUUCACUUGAAAAAGAGGUGGAAUCUUCUUAAGAUUAGCACUUCAACUCUGUAAGUCUGUGAGCUUUGUGUAAUUCUUCAGUCAUAAUCUGUGAGUUUCAGUGCAUGCAAAGGACCAAUAAAACUCUGAAGCUAUAGAGACAGAAGUUUGAGAACCAAGAUUAGUUUUGGGGUGUGUCGGAAGUACAUGGCCUAUCCAUCAUCCUUCCUCAGACCAUGGACCUACUCAGACUCUCCUAAUUCAUCCAGAGGACCCAGUCUACAUUCAGAAUACCAUUUCUGUCAAUUCUCCAGAAGAUGCUAUUCAACUGACGAUAGCAGUGAUGUAACCCUCCUGUCCUGUCCUUGGCUAUGAGCUCUACUUCCACCACGUGGCCGGUAGAUCCAGGGUUCUUUAUCAUUACCUCGUGGUCCUCACUGUUCCACACCACGCCAGACAACAUGUGAUUCCGUAAGACAGCCUGUAAUGGACCUGAAUAUACAACCCUUAUAUCAUCGCAGGCUUGAGUGCCCUUUGCCUGAACUCAAAGUCCCCGCCUCGUUCGACCACGUGGUCCACACACAAGAUACCAGGAGGACGGGAUAGGGUAACGUUCAAGCAAAGG